rnacentral:rRNA from 1 species
GCGCCCCAGAAACCCUUUGUGAACUUAUACCUAUUAUCGUUGCCUCGGCGCUGGCUGCCCUGCCCCCUCGGGGGCGGGGGCCCCCUUCUCCGGAGGGGACAGCAGAGCCCGCCGGCGGCCUACUUAACUCUUGUUUUUACUGAGUAUCUUCUGAGUAAAGCUUCUAAAUGAAUCAAAACUUUCAACAACGGAUCUCUUGGUUCUGGCAUCGAUGAAGAACGCAGCGAAAUGCGAUAAGUAAUGUGAAUUGCAGAAUUCAGUGAAUCAUCGAAUCUUUGAACGCACAUUGCGCCCUCUGGUAUUCCAGAGGGCAUGCCUGUUCGAGCGUCAUUUCAACCCUCAAGCCUAGCUUGGUGUUGGGGCAUUACCUGAACUGUUUCUUUACAGGAGGGUAAGCCCUGAAAUUCAGUGGCGAGCUCGCCAGGACUCCGAGCGCAGUAGUAAAACCCUCGCUUUGGAUCGUACUGGCGCGGCCCUGCCGUAAAACCCCCAACUUCUGAAAAUUUGACCUCGGAUCAGGUAGGAAUACCCGCUGAACUUAAGCAUAUCAAUAAGCGGAGGAA